AGCUCAGCUGGUAGAGCAACUGACUCUUAAUCAGUGGGUCUAGGGUUCGAAUCCCUAA
rnacentral:tRNA from 1 species